AUGCCACCACUGAUCCCUGUGUUGACAGCAGAAGCAGCAUUUCCAAGUUUUCAUUGUGGAACAGGGAGCAGUUGCUCUCCAGGUGCUGUGUGGGAUUUCAGCACCUGGUUGGGAUUACUAAAGCCUUGUGGAUUAAGUGACUCCUGGCUGUUGCCACUUGCUCCCCUGGACUACUCAGGAGUGUUGAGGCACCCAACCUCAAGAAUUGAGUAUCAGUUUCUCAGCAUUCCAGGUGUGAUUAUGAUUUUAAAGUUUUCUUUUUCUUUUUCCUUUUUUUUUUUUUUUUUUUUUUUUUUUUUUUUUUUUUUUUUUUUUUUUUUUUUUGGUUUUUUGAGACAGGGUUUCUCUGUAUUGCUUUGGAGGCUGUCUUGGAACUAGCUCCGUAGACCAGGCUGGCCUUGGACUCACAGAGAUCCACCUGCCUAUGCCUCCUGAGUGCCACUAAUGCCCAGCGAUAUGCUCCUUUUUUUAAUGCUGCAUUUGUUUAACUCUGUGAAGCUGUGGUUCUUUGCCUGUCUAAAAUACCUGAUGGUCUAAUAAAGAGCUGAACAGCCAAAUAGUGAGGCAGGAGAAAGGAUAGGCAGGGCUGGCAGGCAGAGAGAAUAAAUAGGAGAAAUCUGAGGAGGGAGAAGGAGCAAGACAGAACAAGGAGAGGGGGAUGACAGGGACCUGCCUCCCAGCCACCCAUGGAGUAAGAAUGAAAGAUAUCCAGAAGUAAGAAAAGGAAAUAGUCUAGAGGUACUUGUAGUAAUUAGUUAAGAAAACCUGGCAAGAAACAAGCCAAGCUAAAACCGGGCAUAAAUAAGAAUAAGCAUUUGGCCGGGCGUUGGUGGCGCAAGCCUUUAAUCCCAGCACUUGGGAGGCAGAGGCAGGCGGAUCUGUGAGUUUGAGGCCAGCCUGGUCUCCAGAGCUAGUGCCAGGAUAGGCUCCAAAGCUACACAGAGAAACCCUGUCUCGAAAAACCAAAAAAAAAAAAAAAAAAAAGAAUAAAAAGUAUAAGAAUUUGUGUGGAUUGAUUUGGGAGCUGGAUGGCAGGCCCCCCUAAAGAGCAAAGAGCCAGAAGAGUAAAAAUACAUCCAAACAACAGAACUCUCUCUCUUCCUCACACACACACACAGUAAUAUGUGAUAAAAUUUUAGAAAACAAGAUGGCUGAACAGACAUUACAUACAGCACCUGCUCUUGGCUUUACAUUCUUUUCUACACCUAUAGAAUCCCUUCCUGUCUACAGUUCUAUGGUAUGUAUAUGACAGACCACUCGAUCUUCUAACUUCACCUUUAUGUGUGGAAGUCACAAGACAGUGCUGUCUGAGCAUCUCACUGUCACUUUGUAUCCUAAACCAUCACUCACUCAGCUUUCUCCAUGCACAUUUCCUUGUCAGUGAGACAGCAGAGUGAAGUGCCUGCCAGUGUACUCCUCUACACUGUCCUCCUUUAGAGGCUUUGUGAUAUCUGCAAAAGUUCCUAACAUGGGUUGCUUUGCAGAGGUUAAAUCUGUUGAAGAGAGCACUAAUUCCAAUGGUAUCCAAGUUGAUGGCCAACUUUCCAGGUUGGUGGAGGAGAAAGCAUAGUGAAUACAGAUGUCUCUCUUUUCCUUCCCUUCUUUUUUUUAUCUUUCAUUUAUUUACUUAGUUUGUGGGUGUUUUUCCCAGUGUUUGAAGAAUGUCCCUGUUCGAGUGCAAUGCCACUUCAUGAAUCUUGGCAGAUUGCAGGGCCACAACUCCUAUCGUGGAAGAUCAGACGGCCAGGUACUUCAUGUCUGUCUCCACACCCUGGAGGCUUGAGCACAUGCUGAUCUGAGAGUCAGAGUCAAGAAAGAUGUCAUUCACUCUGGCAGCAUCGAAUGUCGGCAGUGGCAGCACACAGUGUCCAGCACAUGGUGCCAACAGCUGUGACAAGCCAGACAAUCCCAAAGUAAGAAAAAAGCUGCAAAUUUAUGAGGUCAGUUCAACUUUAAGGAAGUAAGUGAUUUUUCUAAAAUUAGAUUGGAAUCAAUGAAAUAAUACUUUAUAAAUAAUUCUUAAUUCUCUGACAUUUCAUUCACAAAGUUGCUGGAGUAUGUGAUUUAAUACACAUGUCCUGGUCAAAUGAUAAAAUAACUGUCCAGUUUGGUAUACAGUGAGUUCCAGCCAGCCAGGGCUACACAGUGAGACCCUGUCUCAACAACCAAACAACAAAGACAAACACAAUUAAAAAUAGUGAUUGUGGGAUUAAGACUUGGGAAGUUAGGACCAACAAGGUGGUUCAGAGAAUGAAGGCCAUUGCUCCAAUCCUGGUGACGACCCACAUGAUGCCCUCUGACAUCUACACUCACCCUGUGGUGUGUGUGCCCCCCCACACACAAAUAAAACUUUAAAAGACUCAAAAAAUAAAAAAUUAAAAGACUCAUAAGAUAAUGCAAAAUAUCAUUUGCACCUAUGUUCAGAAAGUACCAAUGAAUAAAUAGAAGAGAUCAACACAAAUGUAGCAUAGGAAUAAACAUUUCACUAGAAAUUGAGAAUUUCUGUUUUGGAGAAUGUUAAAAUUUUCAAUCAUUGGCUCACUUUAUUGUUUUGGUUGUGAUCAUCUAUAAAUCCUGAUAAUUGUUAACACUCUCCACAUUAAUGUCUGAAAAGCUCAGAAAAUCAACUUACCUGAGAUUAAGACAACCAAUGAAACUAUAAUAGGUUCUUUUUAUACCAAGGAUUAAAAAGAAGAGAGUCUGGUUGAGUACUUGCUGAGUAUAUAUGAGGCUGUGGGCUCACUGCCCACCAGCACAUCAACCAGGUGUGGUGGCACAAAUCUCCAAUCCCAGCACUGGGGACAUAGUGGCAGGAGCUCAGAAACUCAAUGUCAUCCUUGGCUACAAAGUGAUUCCAGAUUAGCCUAGGAUAUAUGAAACCUUGUCUCAAUAAUAAUGAG
ensembl:lincRNA